CAGUAGCCGCGGGAACACAGAGGGUGCAAGCGUUAAUCGGAUUUACUGGGCGUAAAGGGCGCGUAGGUGGUUAUUUAAGUGAGAUGUGAAAGCCCCGGGCUUAACCUGGGAACUGCAUCUUAUACUGGGUAACUGGAGUGCAGUAGAGGGUAGUGGAAUUUCCGGUGUAGCGGUGAAAUGCGUAGAUAUCGGAAGGAACACCAGUGGCGAAGGCGGCUACCUGGACUGAGACUGACACUGAGGCGCGAGAGCGUGGGGAGCAAACAGGAUUAGAUACCCCAGUAGUCCCUGUCUCUUAUAC
rnacentral:rRNA from 1 species